GACGAACGCUGGCGGCGCGCUUAACACAUGCAAGUCGAGCGAAGCGGCGGACUGGUGAGUAACACGUGAGUAACCUGCCUUAGACAUUGGGAUAGCCUCGGGAAACCGGUCUUAAUACCAAAUGGUCUAAGAUGGACUCGCGUCCCCUUAGCUAGUUGGUAGGUAACGGCCAACCAAGUCGACGAGGGGUAGCCGGCCAGAGAGGGUGAACGGCCACAUUGGAACUGAGAAACGGUCCAAACUCUACGGGAGGCAGCAGUGGGGAAUAUUGCACAAUGGAGGGAACUCUGAUGCAGCGACGCCGCGUGAACGAAGAAGGCUUUCGAGUCGUAAAGUUCUUUUAUAUGGGAAGCGGUACCAUAAGAAAAAGCCCCGGCUAACUACGUGCCAGCAGCCGCGGUAAUUC
rnacentral:rRNA from 1 species